CCCGAUGACGCACCGCGCUGCGGCGUGGGGAUUCCGCCGGAUUACCCGGCGUGCCCCGCGGCAACAUGGCGGCCUGAAGUGAGAGCGUGGGGCCGGGCCGAGAGGGGGCAAAGUUUGGGGCGGGCCCGAGGCGAGGUCGAACCGGGGCCGAACCGGUCGCAAAGUCACGGGAAUCCCGGGUGGAAACGAGCCCGACCGGAUUCAGAGAAAGAAAUGGGAAAAGUGUCAACUUAAGAAGAAGCAAUGAAUCUCUGUUGAAGCAUCACAUAGCAGGUUUCCAGGUGUAUCUGGAAUGGCUGUAACAGAAUUCAGUGUCGUGGAAGCUCCAGCUGGAUGAGAAGAGCUGUAUUACUGUGCAACUCUGGAGAUGAUUUACUGUCCGCCUGACAACUUGCAAUAUAAACAUUAGUCCAAGCAUGAUCUUGUCCCAAAACCCCGCCUAUGCAGGGAGCCAGGAGUCUUCCUGCCACGCGCCAUAAAUCGUUUACAGUUUGCUCAUUCCCAUGCAUUUAAAAAACAGCUGUGCAUGGGGGAUUAGCAGUUUGCAGAAGGCCCGUGCGGGGCUAAAUUAGGGUCUCUUGCUCUGGUGGUGAAUACUAGUAAUGGAAUAGCCGGAGUGCUUCUCUGCAGCAGAAGGCAAUUUACUAUGGGAACGGGGAGGUGCUGGGGGUACAGCAGCAGGGGGGACAGUGCAGUAUUGCAGUGCUCCAGUGGGAGCGCAAGUGCCUGACUGGUGGUUGCCCAGCAUGGUGAGGGAUUGAAAAAUCAUUGUAAGUUGUGGGGGUUUUAUUUUAGUUAUAUAUUUAUAUAUACAAAAACACACACAAUAAAUACAACUUAUUUAUCCA
rnacentral:lncRNA from 1 species